GCUUGCUUCUGGUUUCACUUUACUGCGUCUCGGGCUCCAAGAGGGAGAAAAAUGAAGUUUUUCCUGCUUAGUACAUUUCUGUUUUUGUAUAGUUUUUUAGCCUGGGCAAGAGAUAAGCAUUAUUACAUAGGAAUUACUGAGGAUGUUUGGGACUAUGCUCCUGGAAUUGAAGAAAAGAAACUUAUUUCAGUUGACAUGGAACAGUCCGAUGUCUAUCUUCAAAAUGGCCCAGAUCGUAUUGGAAGAAGAUAUAAGAAGGCCCUUUAUUCUGAGUACACAGAUGGCACCUUUACAAAAACUAUAGACAAGCCAGCAUGGCUAGGGUUGUUAGGCCCUGUCAUCAAAGCUGAAGUUGGAGAUAAAGUUUAUGUUCACUUAAAGAACUUUGCCUCUAGGCCCUAUACUUUUCAUGCACAUGGGGUAACUUACUCCAAGGAGUCUGAGGGGGCCAUCUACCCUGACAACACCACUGAUUUUCAAAAAGCCGAUGACAAAGUGUUUCCUGGACAACAGUGUUUGUAUGUGCUACACGCCAAUGACCAAAGUCCUGGUGAGGGAGACAGCAAUUGUGUGACCAGGAUUUACCAUUCCCAUGUUAAUGCUCCAGAAGAUAUUGCAUCAGGACUCAUAGGACCUUUAAUACUCUGUAAAAAAGGUUCUCUAUAUAAGGAAAAAGAGAAAAAUAUUGACCAAGAAUUUGUAGUAAUGUUCUAUGUGGUGGAUGAAAAUCUCAGCUGGUAUCUAGAAGAUAACAUCAAAACCUUCUGCUCUGAACCAGAGAAAGUUGAUAAGGACAAUGAAGAUUUCCAGGAAAGCAACAAGAUGUACUCUAUAAAUGGAUAUACAUUUGGAAGCCUCCCAGGGCUCUCGAUGUGUGCAGAAGACAGAGUGAAGUGGUACCUUUUUGGUAUGGGUAAUGAAGUUGAUGUGCAUUCAGCUUUCUUUCAUGGUCACGCUCUGACCAGCAAAAACUAUCAAACUGAUAUAAUCAACCUGUUCCCUGCCACUUUAAUUGAUGCUUAUAUGGUAGCCCAGAAUCCUGGAGUCUGGAUGCUCAGUUGCCAGAACCUAAACCAUCUGAAAGCCGGUUUGCAGGCCUUUUUCCAGGUUCGUGACUGUAACAAGCCCUCGACAGCAGAUAAUAUACAAGAUGGACAUGUGAGACACUACUACAUUGCUGCUGAGGAGACCAUCUGGGACUACGCUCCUUCUGGGACUGAUAUCUUCACUGGAGAGAACUUAACAGCUCUGGAAAGUGAUUCGAGGGUAUUUUUUGAGCAAGGUGCCACAAGAAUUGGUGGCUCUUAUAAAAAAAUGAUUUAUCGUGAGUACACAGAUGGUUCCUUCACAAACCAAAAACAAAGAAGCCCCGAUGAGGAACAUCUUGGAAUCCUGGGUCCUGUCAUUUGGGCAGAAGUAGGAGACAUCAUUAAAGUCACCUUUCAUAACAAGGGAAAACAUCCUCUCAGCAUUCAGCCAAUGGGAGUAAGACUCACCAAGGAAAAUGAGGGAACACACUAUGGCCAACCUGGCCACUCCUCAAGGAAAGCUUCCCAUGUGGCUCCCAAAGAAACCUUUACGUAUGAAUGGACUGUGCCCCCCACAAUGGGACCCACUUAUGCAGAUCCUGUGUGCCUAUCUAAGAUGUAUUACUCUGGCGUUGACCCCACCAAAGAUAUAUUUACUGGACUUAUUGGGCCAAUGAAAAUAUGCAAGAAAGGCAGCUUACGUGCAGAUGGGAGACAGAAAGAUGUAGACAAGGAGUUCUACUUGUUUGCCACAGUAUUUGAUGAGAAUGAGAGUUUACUCUUGGAUGAUAAUAUUAGGAUGUUCACAACUGCACCUGACCAGGUGGAUAAGGAAGACGAAGACUUUCAGGAGUCUAAUAAGAUGCACUCCAUGAAUGGAUUCAUGUAUGGCAAUCAGCCUGGCCUCAAUAUGUGUCUAGGAGAAUCCAGUGUGUGGUAUUUGUUCAGCGCUGGAAAUGAGGCAGAUGUGCAUGGGAUAUACUUUUCAGGAAAUACUUAUCUGUCCAAAGGAGAAAGAAGAGACACUGCAAACCUAUUUCCUCAUAAAAGUCUCACUCUUCUGAUGAAGCCUGACACAGAAGGGACUUUUGAUGUUGAGUGUCUUACAACAGAUCACUACACAGGUGGCAUGAAGCAAAAAUACACUGUGGACCAGUGCAAGCAGAAGUUUGAAGAUUUCACUGUCUACCUGGGAGAAAGGACCUACUAUGUUGCAGCAGUAGAGGUGGAAUGGGAUUAUUCACCAAGCAGGGACUGGGAAAAGGAGCUACAUCAUUUGCAAGAGCAAAAUGUUUCAAAUGCAUUUCUGGAUAAGGAAGAGUUUUUCAUAGGAUCGAAGUACAAAAAGGUUGUGUAUCGUGAGUUUACUGACAGCACAUUCAGAGAACAGGUGAAGAGAAGAGCUGAAGAUGAACACUUGGGCAUCCUCGGUCCACCAAUUCAUGCAGAUGUUGGAGAUAAAGUUAAAGUUGUCUUUAAAAAUAUGGCAACCAGGCCAUAUUCAAUACAUGCCCAUGGGGUGAAAACAGAGAGUCCCACAGUUGUUCCAGCGUUACCAGGUGAAGUUCGCACUUAUAUAUGGCAAAUUCCAGAAAGAUCAGGUGCUGGAACAGAGGAUUCAGCUUGUAUUCCAUGGGCUUAUUACUCAACGGUGGAUCGAGUUAAGGAUCUCUAUAGUGGGCUAAUAGGCCCAUUGAUUGUUUGUCGGAAAUCUUAUGUGAAAGUAUUCAAUCCUAAAAAGAAAGUGGAGUUUUUCCUUUUGUUUUUAGUAUUUGAUGAGAAUGAAUCUUGGUACUUAGAUGAUAACAUCGAAAUAUACUCUGAACACCCUGAGAAAGUAAACAAAGACAACGAGGAAUUCAUAGAAAGCAAUAAAAUGCAUGCUAUUAAUGGGAAAAUGUUCGGAAACCUACAAGGCCUUACAAUGCACGUGAACGAUGAAGUCAUCUGGUAUGUGAUGGGAAUGGGCAAUGAAAUAGAUCUGCACACGGUACACUUCCAUGGCCACAGCUUCCAGUACAAGCACAGGGGAAUACACAGUUCUGAUGUCUUUGACCUUUUCCCUGGAACAUACCAAACCCUAGAGAUGUUUCCCCAAACACCUGGAAUCUGGUUACUCCACUGCCACGUGACUGACCAUGUCCAUGCUGGGAUGACAACUACCUACACUGUUUUACCGGUAGAACAAGCAUCAUCUCAGAGUUACAGGAUGAACUGGAACAUCCUCUAUACACUGUUAAUCAGCAUGAUUAUUUUAUUCUGAAUAUCUACCAAGGAGUAGCCAGGAAAAUAAGGUGUUUCCAAGUACAUUCUAAAAAUGAAGAGAGUUGUACAGCUCAUUUACCUGCAACAAGACCAGUCCCUCAGCUCAGAUGCUUCAUCCGUCAGCAGGUCCACCCAGAAGCCAGGAUUCCAAAGCUCCUAAUUGUGAUAAACUAUAUAUUGUUGCCCCUCAAAAGCUAUAUUCUAAACUAACCAGACAUGUGAUAUUAUCACACAUUUAAACUGUAUACUAUAUUGUAACAUACUACAUAUUUUAAAAAGUAAGAGAGGUGUCUUCAUUUACCUGUAAUUUCAAAAGAUCUUCUGUGUAAUUUUUAUCAACUAAGGAAUCAGACAUCAUUAAGACAUGAAUCCACGGAUAUAUUAAGCCAUAAUGACUGCAGGCAUUUAUCUGAAACAUUACAGACAUGCAUCAUAAGCCAAAUAUAACAAUAGCAAAACAAUUUCUUCAUCCAUUCACUAAUCCUCUGCCACAUCUUAGACUCAGUUACAAACUCUCCUAGGAAAUGGAAGCUUUGCAGAUGUAUUUCCCUGAAAAAGGUUACAGUCUCGCUGCUUCCACAUCAAAUAAUCUGCAAGGAAUAUUUCCUAAUAUUUUGAAAUUUAAAAAUAUUCUAUAGAAGUGCUUUCUAGAAAAAAUAAAAAUAGCACUGUUCCUAAGAUAAUUAUACUCAAAAAGAGUAAAAGAUAACAGUAGAAAUAAUUUUUAUUUAUAGCAUUUGGGGGGUGACAAAAUAUCCUUUUAAGGCUCAUGAUGAUUGCCUGGAGCAUCCUUUAUCCAAGAAACGACACUGGUGACCUUUCCAGUCACUGCAUAGUACCCACAGCAGCCAUGGCAACAGGAUUCUAUGGAAAACAGAGCAGGAUGGAUUUCUGUGAUUCACUCUCUUCUGUCCAAUCUGCACGGGCCAAGACUUCAGCCAGAGACAAACCAGACAUCUUAUAGUAUGGCAAGGCAAGAUGGGAUUGCUCAGUGUUAAGCCUAAAGAGAAGAAAUUUUAAAGGGUUUCAAAUGUACAUUUCUAUGCCAGUUACUUAACACAGUAAAGUAAUAAAACAGAUAAUGCUUUUCAAA